rnacentral:rRNA from 1 species
GAUGAACGCUGGCGGCGUGCCUAAUGCAUGCAAGUCGAGCGAACAGACGAGGAGCUUGCUCCUCUGACGUUAGCGGCGGACGGGCGAGUAACACGUGGAUAACCUACCUAUAAGACUGGGAUAACUUCGGGAAACCGGAGCUAAUACCGGAUAAUAUAUUGAACCGCAUGGUUCAAUAGUGAAAGACGGUUUUGCUGUCACUUAUAGAUGGAUCCGCGCCGUAUUAGCUAGUUGGUAAGGUAACGGCUUACCAAGGCAACGAUGCGUAGCCGACCUGAGAGGGUGAUCGGCCACACUGGAACUGAGACACGGUCCAGACUCCUACGGGAGGCAGCAGUAGGGAAUCUUCCGCAAUGGGCGAAAGCCUGACGGAGCAACGCCGCGUGAGUGAUGAAGGUCUUCGGAUCGUAAAACUCUGUUAUUAGGGAAGAACAAAUGUGUAAGUAACUAUGCACGUCUUGACGGUACCUAAUCAGAAAGCCACGGCUAACUACGUG